GAUGAACGCUGGCGGCGUGCCUAAUACAUGCAAGUCGAGCGAAUGGAUUGAGAGCUUGCUCUUAUGAAGUUAGCGGCGGACGGGUGAGUAACACGUGGGUAACCUGCCCAUAAGACUGGGAUAACUCCGGGAAACCGGGGCUAAUACCGGAUAACAUUUUGAACCGCAUGGUUCGAAAUUGAAAGGCGGCUUCGGCUGUCACUUAUGGAUGGACCCGCGUCGCAUUAGCUAGUUGGUGAGGUAACGGCUCACCAAGGCAACGAUGCGUAGCCGACCGGGGAGGGGGAUCGGCCACACUGGGACUGGGACACGGCCCAGACUCCUACGGGAGGCAGCAGUAGGGAAUCUUCCGCAAUGGACGAAAGUCUGACGGAGCAACGCCGCGUGAGUGAUGAGGGCUUUCGGGUCGUAAAACUCUGUUGUUAGGGAAGAACAAGUGCUAGUUGAAUAAGCUGGCACCUUGACGGUACCUAACCAGAAAGCCACGGCUAACUACGUGCCAGCCGCCGCAGUAA
rnacentral:rRNA from 1 species